rnacentral:tmRNA from 1 species
GGGGGCGUUUUGGAUUCGACGGGGGUAUGAUGGGUGAGAGUAGCGAGUCCGGGCCCAUGACCCGGUCAACAACGUGGAACGGCAAAUAACUGCCAACGAUAAUUACGCAUUAGCUGCUUAAUUAAAGCAGCUCGUCCGCUUACCGCGAGCCUGUAGUGGUAAUUCCGGGCGUCGACUAAUCAGGCUACCGACCUCACGGUCUGCACUGCCAAAGAGGAAGGGAAUAACAACUGUGCUAGCGUAAACGGAUCCCGUCUCAAGGAGCCGUCUGCGCGAAUCUAAAGUUGAGACUACACUCGAAGAAGCUCUUGCUGGUCUGCUUUCGGACAGGGGUUCGACUCCCCUCGCCUCCACCA